GACUCUCGGCAAUGAAUAUCUCGGCUCUCGCAUCGAUGAAGAACAUAGCAAAAUGCGAUACCUGGUGUGAAUUGCAGAAUCCCGCGAACCAUCAAGUCUUUGAACGCAAGUUGUGCCCGAGGCCACUCGGCCGAGGGCACGCCUGCCUGGGCAUCA
rnacentral:rRNA from 2 species